CCUACGGGAGGCAGCAGUAGGGAAUAUUGCGCAAUGGGCGAAAGCCUGACGCAGCAACGCCGCGUGUGUGAUGAAGGUCUUCGGAUCGUAAAGCACUGUCGCGAGGGACGAAUAAGCCGUCGGCUAACAUCCGGCGGUGAUGACGGUACCUCGAGAGGAAGCACCGGCUAACUCUGUGCCAGCAGCCGCGGUAAU
rnacentral:rRNA from 1 species